CAAAAUACUGGAAACAAGAAAUACAGUACUGGUCUAGGUACAACCAAUGAACCCUCAACCCCAAGUUUGCCAUACUACAUGUAACUCAUACAAACUGAGGUAGCGAGCAUGGUCUAAAAAUA